GAGAGAGUGGAGUAAGUAGAAGCGAGAUGGUGAUUGGGAGUUUGAGAGAGAGGGAAGAGGGGGAGAGAGAGAAUGAGGGGAGAGAGGGGGAGAGGAAGAAUGAGGAGAGAGAGGAACGCAGACUCAGCCAAUCAACAUCCAGGAUCAAAACAGCCCAUUUUAUAAUGAACAAUGCAGACCUUUCCCUGUACACGCCAACAUCAUCUGCCAAGCUAGCUGAGAAUCUGAGGGGUUCGUCUGCCACAAACAAAUAUGGCUGCCCAAGAAGAGAGUCAGAGGGGGUCGUCUGCCACAAACCAAUAUGGCUGCCCAAGAAGAGGGCCCCAUGAGAGCAAGAAAAUCAAUUGUUCAUUUGAAUAAAGGAGCUUUCCUCACCACACUGAA